GCUAAAUAAGAGCGUAUGGGGAAUGCCUAGGCUCUCAGAGGCGAUGAAGGACGUGAUAAGCUGCGAAAAGCUGCGGGGAUUGGCACAUACAAAUUGAUCCGCAGAUAUCCGAAUGGGGCAACCCAGCAUGUUGAAGACAUGUUAUCCGCAAGGAGGCGAACCCGGAGAACUGAAACAUCUAAGUACCCGGAGGAGAAGAAAACAAAAGUGAUUCCGAUAGUAGCGGCGAGCGAAAUUGGAUUAGCCCAAACCAGUAUUGUUACGGCAAUGCUGGGGUUGUAGGACCACGAUAUUUGAACCAUAAUGAAUUAGAACGCUUUGGAAAGAGCGACCAAAGAGGGUGAUAGUCCCGUAUAAGUAAAGAUUGGUAAGAUAGUGGUAUCCUGAGUAGUGCGGGGCACGUGAAACCCUGUAUGAAUCAGUCGGGACCAUCCGAUAAGGCUAAAUACUCCUGAGAGACCGAUAGUGAACUAGUACCGUGAGGGAAAGGUGAAAAGAACCCUGAAUAAGGGAGUGAAAUAGAACCUGAAACCAUACGCUUACAAGCGGUCGGAGCAGACUUGAUCUGUGACGGCGUGCCUUUUGCAUAAUGAGCCUACGAGUUACCGUUGCUAGCAAGGUUAAGUACUUAAGGUACGGAUCCGUAGCGAAAGCGAGUCUGAAUAGGGCGCUAUAGUUAGUAGUGGUAGACGCGAAACCGUGUGAUCUACCCAUGGGCAGGGUGAAGCUGUGGUAACACACAGUGGAGGCCCGAACCGGUUGACGUUGAAAAGUCUUCGGAUGACCUGUGGGUAGGGGUGAAAGGCCAAUCAAACUCGGAAAUAGCUCGUACUCCCCGAAAUGCAUUUAGGUGCAGCGUUGAUUUAGUUUUAUAGAGGUAGAGCUACUGAUUGGAUGCGGGGGCUUCACCGCCUACCAAUUCCUGACAAACUCCGAAUGCUAUAAAAUGAUGAUCAGCAGUGAGGGCAUGGGUGCUAAGGUCCAUGUCCGAGAGGGAAAGAACCCAGACCAUCAGCUAAGGUCCCCAAAUGUAUGUUAAGUUGAAUAAACGAGGUUGAACUGCUUAGACAGCUAGGAUGUUGGCUUGGAAGCAGCCAUUCAUUUAAAGAGUGCGUAACAGCUCACUAGUCGAGCGGUUCGGCAUGGAUAAUAAUCGGGCAUAAACAUACUACCGAAGCUAUGGACUUGAAAAAGUGGUAGGGGAGCAUUGUAGUGUCGUCGAAGGUGUACUGCGAGGUAUGCUGGAGAAGCUACAAAAGAAAAUGUAGGCAUAAGUAACGAUAAUGCGGGCGAGAAACCCGCACACCGAAAGACUAAGGUUUCCUCAGCUAUGCUAAUCAGCUGAGGGUUAGUCGGGACCUAACACGAACCCGAAAGGGGUAGUGGAUGGACAACAGGUUAAUAUUCCUGUACCUGCUCACACUAAAAGUGACGGAGGCGAAAAGUUAGUGCGUACUGACGGAAUAGUACGUUGAAGCGAGUAGUAAUACCGCGAUAGUACACUGAGACUACGGUCAAGGUGAUAAUCUAGCAAAUCGACUUCCAAGAAAAGCGAGUGAAGCAGCCCGUACCCUAAACCGACACAGGUAGUUGGGAUGAGAAUUCUAAGGUGCUCGAGAGAUUCAUGGCUAAGGAACUAGGCAAAAUAGACGCGUAACUUCGGGAGAAGCGUCGCCCACAGCAAUGUGGGCCGCAGUGAAAAGGUCCAGGCGACUGUUUAUCAAAAACACAGGGCUCUGCUAAAUCGAAAGAUGACGUAUAGGGCCUGACACCUGCCCGGUGCUGGAAGGUUAAGUGGAGGGUUUAGAAGUUUACUUCGAAGAUCUCAAAUGAAGCCCCAGUAAACGGCGGCCGUAACAAUAACGGUCCUAAGGUAGCGAAAUUCCUUGUCGGGUAAGUUCCGACCUGCACGAAUGGCGUAACGACUUCCCCGCUGUCUCCAACAUCGACUCAGCGAAAUUGAAUUGCCUGUCAAGAUGCAGGCUUCCCGCGGUUAGACGGAAAGACCCCGUGCACCUUUACUACAGCUUCGCACUGGCAUCAGGAUUGUGAUGUGCAGGAUAGGUGGUAGGCUUUGAACCCGUGACGCCAGUCGCGGUGGAGCCUCCCUUGAGAUACCACCCUUCGCACUCUUGAUGUCUAACCGCGGUCCGUUAUCCGGAUCCGGGACCCUGCGUGGUGGGUAGUUUGACUGGGGCGGUCGCCUCCUAAAGAGUAACGGAGGCGCGCGAUGGUGGGCUCAGAGCGGUCGGAAAUCGCUCGUUGAGUGCAAUGGCAUAAGCCAGCCUGACUGUGAGACUGACAGGUCGAACAGAGUCGAAAGACGGCCAUAGUGAUCCGGUGGUCCCGCGUGGAAGGGCCAUCGCUCAACGGAUAAAAGGUACGCCGGGGAUAACAGGCUGAUGAUGCCCAAGAGUCCAUAUCGACGGCAUUGUUUGGCACCUCGAUGUCGGCUCAUCGCAUCCUGGGGCUGAAGGCGGUCCCAAGGGUUAGGCUGUUCGCCUAUUAAAGCGGUACGCGAGCUGGGUUCAGACCGGCGUGAGCCAGGUCGGUCCCUAUCUGUCGUGGGCGCUGCACAUUUGAGAGGAGUCUUCCUUAGUACGAGAGGAUUAGGAAGGACGAACCCCUGGUGAUCCAGCUGUCGCGCUAGCGGCACCGCUGGGUAGCUAAGUUCGGCAGGGAUAACCGCUGAAAGCAUCUAAGCGGGAAGCCCCCCUCAAGAUGAGAUGUGCUUGCUAUACGCGUGAGACCCCUGGAAGACCACCAGGUUGAUAGGCUGCAUGUGUAAG
rnacentral:rRNA from 1 species